GCAUCAGUGGUUUAGUGGUAAAAUUCGUCGUUGCCAUCGAACGAACAAGUCAAUUGACUCGACGAGCCGGGGGUUCGAUUCCCCCCUGAUGCA